UAACGCGUAGGUAACCUGCCUGUAGCGGGGGAUAACUAUUGGAAACGAUAGCUAAUACCGCAUAAGAACAUUUACUGCAUGGUAGAUGUUUAAAAGGUGCAAAAGCAUCACUACCAGAUGGACCUGCGUUGUAUUAGCUAGUUGGUGAGGUAACGGCUCACCAAGGCAACGAUACAUAGCCGACCUGAGAGGGUGAUCGGCCACACUGGGACUGAGACACGGCCCAG
rnacentral:rRNA from 1 species